UAAUGAGAGUUUGAUCCUGGCUCAGGACGAACGCUGGCGGCGUGCCUAAUACAUGCAAGUAGAACGCUGAAGAGAGGAGCUUGCUCUUCUUGGAUGAGUUGCGAACGGGUGAGUAACGCGUAGGUAACCUGCCUUGUAGCGGGGGAUAACUAUUGGAAACGAUAGCUAAUACCGCAUAACAAUGGAUGACACAUGUCAUUUAUUUGAAAGGGGCAAUUGCUCCACUACAAGAUGGACCUGCGUUGUAUUAGCUAGUAGGUGAGGUAAUGGCUCACCUAGGCGACGAUACAUAGCCGACCUGAGAGGGUGAUCGGCCACACUGGGACUGAGACACGGCCCAGACUCCUACGGGAGGCAGCAGUGGGGAAUAUUGGACAAUGGGCGAAAGCCUGAUCCAGCCAUGCCGCGUGUGUGAAGAAGGUCUUCGGAUUGUAAAGCACUUUAAGUUGGGAGGAA
rnacentral:rRNA from 1 species